rnacentral:lncRNA from 10 species
GCAAUCAGCGAGACUCCAUGGGCGUAGGACCCUCCCAGCCAGGUGCAGGAUAUAAUCUCGUGGUGCGACAUUGUUUAAGCUGGUCGGAAAAGCGCAGUAUUCGGGUGGGAUUGACCUGAUUUUCCAGGUUCUGGUGGACAAUUUCCAGUCUGGAGUCUGCAUUUGGAGAGAUUCUACAGCACAUGCAUGAAUGGUGUGCUGCCUAUUCAUUUAAGAAACUGAUGGUUUUACGACUAGUAGCAUGGUGUAUUUAACAAACACUGGCCUAGGACUCAUAAACAGAGAUGACUACAGGUUGAUGAUCUAAUAAAUAUUCUAGUCAUCACUGCCUGGGCUAAAGAGGAGGAGGUGGUGUCCCAAGGGCAUUUAUAUCUUUGCUCUGUAUUUGGAGGAGAAUGGAGAGUUCCAAAUGAUCAGAGCUUGCACAUUACUAGAUCCCCUUUCUAGGGAAAAUGCUGCGAUCAAUUGAAGUUGUCAUCCUCAUGAAGCUCAUACUGUUUUGCCUGAAAAAUAAAUAAUGGAGUAUCUGCUGAGGAGACUGGAAUGAGGAAGGAAUUCAUUAAGUCUGAUUGUCUCUGAACAGCAAAGUUCCUGAGGUCAGUCUGAAGUGAAAUAAACUAUUCAAAAGCUUAAAAUACCCUGAAUAAGAAUAAAACAUGCCAGUAAUUAAAAUGAUUUGAGGAUUUUAUUCUAAAUACAUUUUAAAGAUCAAAGACUAAAUCUACCAACAGGCAAAGCAUGAAGACUAGAGUUCUGUGAAUUUAGCCUUUAGACUUAAUCUCUGAGGAAAAGAAAACCAAUCUCAGACAAAGACAUACGAAGCCAGGGAGAAUUGUUAGAUAUAUUAUCUCUAAUUCCAGUGGGGCUAUCCGUGUUAAAAAUUAGUAAGAGGGAAAAAAGUACAUGGUAAAAACUGCAGAAGGAAUAAAGAAAAAAAAAGCAUAAACAGUAUUAUUUGCUAACGUUGAAAGACACACAAACUCUUAAGAUUAGAAACUCUAAUAUCAAUACAAAUAAAUUUUACAUGUAAAAUACCAGAAUAAAAUAGAUAAUGCAGAACUAAUCAAGCUGAGAAAAGAAGCACAAUUACUGUAGAACCAAUACAUGAGUAAGAAAAAGUAUGUAAGAGUAGAAUUCACUUAUGUUGAUACCUAAAUAAAUCAACUGGAAGGGAGGAUUGGAUAAUCAUGAGAGAAGUCACAAGAAAUUUAGACAACAUCAUUAUCAGUAGAUAACUUUAUGUCUCACCUUCCUGUUUAAAACUUCAACCCUUCUAUCCACCCUGUACACUCAGCAGAAAACUUUUCCCAAUAUUUCAUUUAAAAAAUGGCAACAAUCAGAAGAGAGCACCUCUCCUUCCACUCUUAAGUGUACCAGUGCCCCUUUAUGUGACCACCUAUGUUCAGACAUUACUCACAAUACAAUAAAGAAAUGUCCCUGUUUUUGUCUAAGACCUUUCAUUUAUGAUCUAGAUGACAUGCCCUUCCAUUAGAUCAAUGAUUUGAACACUGAAAUUGUCCUCGCUCAUCCUGCAUCAUUAGAAGUUCUCUCUUGUUUCUAUCAUGUAUGGAGUUAUAGAAGAAAACACAUGUUAAAAAAAUUUUCCUUAAACAAGCAUCUCUCUCCAAUAACUUCCUAAUUCUCCCCAGUCCAUUGGAAAAGUAGUAAGCUAAGAGAGUCGCAUAUUUUUCUGUUACUGACUACUUCUCCACUGACACACUUUUCAAGUCAUUCCAUAUAGACUUUUAUUCCCACUUAGUUAAAGAAAGAGAAAUAACAAAGAACUUAGUGGGGUUGAUGGAUGUUAUUAUAACAUACAUUUAUACAACUAAUACUUAGAAGGUAUUUAUGUAUUGGACUAUGUCAUGAGAAUUUUUAGUAAGCUUGCUACUUGAUAAUACUCAAUUGGAAAAUAGAGAGAGCCAGAUUCUUAGGAGUACAAAUGAGAAAUGAAAAUCUGUAAUGGAUAUCUCUACUUGUAAUCUUUAUAGAUAUAAAAAAAGGAGUCACACAGCAUUCAGAAUAUUCGUAACCAGAUGCUUAUGAAUAGAGUUUAAUUUGUUGGUGCACCUUUCCCCUACCAUUCUUUCUAAGUACAAUUAAGCAGGUAGAAUUGAGGGAGUUUCUAUUUCCACUCAAACAUUUGAAAAAGAUGAAGUAAAG